GGGCCAAACUGGAUGUCCAUGAAAAGACAGGCAGAUCAUCCCCCCAGACAAAGAUUCUUACUGAUGCUGACUGCAGCCUAAUAACCAUAAGACAGCAUCUGUGAGAGAAGUCCUUAAGGAACAAAACAAAGACUUCAAAGGUCACACCUCCUCCAAAGUUCAAACAGAGCAGUUUGUUGAAUGGAAGAACAAAACAUGGCGAGGCGGAAGGAAGAUCUUAGACAAAUCUCCAGUGAUCAUGACAUGACAAGCAGGAGCAUCGGAGCAAGCCUGCUGUGGGGAUGCUGCAGUGAGCAUUUCUUUUGACUGAGGUUCCUCAUAACUCCCGUCUGACAAAUGACUUCUUCCAAAUCACUCAAACUGCUGAGCCAGGAAAAAAAUGAAGAAACUCUCACAAACACGCUGCAGAAUGCAGACUCUGAACUUGCACCAGUUCCUGACACACAUUAACAUUCAUACCCACAUACAGAUUCCCCCAUUCACUAUUCCAAGUUGGUCAGAGUAGUUUUCAGAUUAAAAGUGUUAAACCAACCAGAGACUGGGAUUCACAUUUCCUUUAUGUAACUUUACUUUAGAUUUCAAGUGUUGCAUUGUGUCACAAUUAAAGGGCAUUUGAGUUUGAACUUUCUUUUGAUUGCAUUUGCAUCAUUUCUUUGUAUCUUGUCAUAUUCUUCUCAGUUCUCUGUAUAUACUAGUAUUAUUGUAACGUGUUCUAUGCAUCGCUGCAUACAGAGGGUCUAAACCCUCGGCUAUUUA